GAUGAACGCUGGCGGCGUGCCUAAUACAUGCAAGUCGAGCGAACAGAUGAGGAGCUUGCUCCUCUGACGUUAGCGGCGGACGGGUGAGUAACACGUGGAUAACCUACCUAUAAGACUGGGAUAACUUCGGGAAACCGGAGCUAAUACCGGAUAAUAUAUUGAACCGCAUGGUUCAAUAGUGAAAGACGGUUUUGCUGUCACUUAUAGAUGGAUCCGCGCCGCAUUAGCUAGUUGGUAAGGUAACGGCUUACCAAGGCAACGAUGCGUAGCCGACCUGAGAGGGUGAUCGGCCACCCUGGAACUGAGACACGGUCCAGACUCCUAAGGGAGGCAGCAGUAGGGAAUCUUACGCAAUGGGCGAAAGCCUGACGGAGCAACGCCGCGUGAGUGAUGAAGGUCUUCGGAUCGUAAAACUCUGUUAUUAGGGAAGAACAAAUGUGUAAGUAACUAUGCACGUCUUGACGGUACCUAAUCAGAAAGCCACGGCUAACUACGUG
rnacentral:rRNA from 1 species